CCUACCAGCUGUCACUUUCCUUCCUCCACCCAGAGUCAAAUAAGUUCCAGAUGCUGAGAGAGUUGUGGGAAUCUCUUCAGUGUCACCGGGAGGAGGGGAACUUAAAUUCCUCUGGCUAGCAGUCACCAUCUUGUUUCUCUGUUUCUUUCCUUUGCCCCCAUUGCUUUUCUUUCACCAUCAGAGAGUGAAGUCACUUCCUGACUCCACUGGGUCUUCAAGUUCCUCUGCCCGCUAGGAUUUCAAGACCUUUUUAUGGAUUUAGGCUUGCUCAUAUUGGGACAAAUCAAAGAAGACUGAAAGAAGGAAGAUAAAUCGUACCCCAGAACGCUGGAAAAUUCUGAAAUUAGAGGUACCCAACGCCCCCUGAAGAAGGGAGUAAGAGGUGCAGUGACCACCGAGCAGCUGUGAGCCCCAGAACGCUGGUCCCAGGCAGCACGAACACUUGGACUCAAACGAGCACACCACCACACGGUGAAAAGGAGAUAACUACAUAACCAGACAUCCUGAAAAGAGAGGUCAUGGGGAGACAAAGAAACAGCCCGCACAUGAAAGAAAAGCAAGCAUCACCAGAAAAGGAAGUAA